GUCAGUGUGGUGUAGUGGUUUCAUCAUUAGCCUAUGACUCUGGAGACCAGGGUUUGAAUCCUGCUUGGACA